GCGCGCCAGCGGAGGAAAAUAGGCUUGCAGAGGACUCCCUUCUCUCUCCUCCUGGAAACCUUCCCCAACCUUGUUCCCCCGCCAAGGAUUAGUUGCUGUUGAAGGGGGCUCCGCCAAUGAAAUCUUCUCUGCGUUCUGAUUUGGCGGUUCUUCGGUGCAAAUAUGACAGCUUUCUCUCUCAGCUCUUUUCUGCAUCUCUCCAUGUCCGACCCCGGAGCCCAGUUCUCGGUCUGCAAUUUCUACACCACAACCUUUGCAAUCACCACCACCCCUAGGUCCCAUGUCAGCAGGUGCCAGGUUGCUACAAAGGUGACAGGGCACAUUGGGAAGAAGGCUUGUUGAUUGCAGAAGAUACUUAUGCCCCGUGUUUC
rnacentral:lncRNA from 1 species